UACGAAGGGGGCUAGCGUUGUUCGGAAUUACUGGGCGUAAAGCGCGCGCAGGCGGUUUUCCAAGUCAGUGGUGAAAGCCCGGAGCUCAACUCCGGAAAUGCCAUUGAAACUGUAAAACUUGAGGACGAGAGAGGUGAGUGGAAUUCCCAGUGUAGAGGUGAAAUUCGUAGAUAUUCGCAAGAACACCAGUGGCGAAGGCGGCUCACUGGCCCGAUACUGACGCUGAGGUGCGAAAGCGUGGGGAGCAAACAGG
rnacentral:rRNA from 1 species